rnacentral:tRNA from 1 species
GGUCGGGAUAGCUCAGCUGGUAGAG